UCCAGACUCCUACGGGAGGCAGCAGUGAGGAAUAUUGGUCAAUGGCCGAGAGGCUGGACCAGCCAAGUCGCGUGAGGGAAGAAUGUCCUAUGGAUUGUAAACCUCUUUUGUCAGGGAGCAAAGUCACCCACGUGUGGGUGUUGGAGAGUACCUGAAGAAAAAGCAUCGGCUAACUCCGUGCCAGCAGCCGCGGUAAUACGGAGGAUGCGGGCGUUAUCCGGAUUUAUUGGGUUUAAAGGGUGCGUAGGCGGGCUGUUAAGCCAGGGGUAAAAGCCGGGGGCCCAACCCGGGGGAGCCGUUGAAACUGGCUGUCUUGAGAUGUCGAGAGGUAUGCGGAAUGCGCAGUGUAGCGGUGAAAUGCUUAGAUAUUGCGCAGAACUCCGAUUGCGAAGGCAGCAUACCGGCGGCGAUCUGACGCUGAGGCACGAAAGCGUGAGUAUCGAACAGGAUUAGAUACCCGCGUACU
rnacentral:rRNA from 1 species